rnacentral:rRNA from 1 species
GACGAACGCUGGCGGCGUGCUUAACACAUGCAAGUCGAACGAUGAAGAAAAGAAUUGAAGCUUCGGCAGAAAUUCAUUUCGGAUUAGUGGCAGACAGGUGAGUAACGCGUGAGCAACCUACCUCUUACAAAGGGAUAGCCUCGGGAAACCGGGAUUAAUACCAUAUAACAUUGCGACGAAGCAUUUCGAUGCAAUCAAAGCUACGGCGGUAAGAGAUGGGCUCGCGUCCCAUUAACCAGAUGGUGAGGUAACGGCUCACCAUAGUAACGAUGGGUAACCGGCCUGAGAGGGUGAACGGUCACACUGGAACUGAGACACGGUCCAGACUCCUACGGAAGGCAGCAGUGGGGAAUAUUGCACAAUGGAGGGAACUCUGAUGCAGCGACGCCGCGUGAGUGAUGAAGGAAUUCGUUUCGUAAAACUCUGUUCUAUGGGAAGAAAAGGACUGUACCAUAGGAGAAAGCGCCGGCUAAAUACGUG